rnacentral:tRNA from 1 species
GAUUCCGUAGCUCAGUUGGUAGAGCUGGGGGCUCUUAACCCCUGAGUCGCUGGUUCGAGUCCAGCCGGAAUCA